GUCGAGAAUUUUUCACAAUGGGCGAAAGCCUGAUGGAGCGACGCCGCGUGGGGGAUGAAUGGCUUCGGCCCGUAAACCCCUGUCAUUUGCGAGCAAUGCUGUCCCGAUAAUACCGGGACAGUUGAUAGUAGCGAAAGAGGAAGGGACGGCUAACUCUGUGCCAGCAGCCGCGGUAAUACAGAGGUCCCGAGCGUUGUUCGGAUUCACUGGGCGUAAAGGGUGCGUAGGUGGCAGGAUCAGUUCAAUGUGAAAUCUCCGGGCUCAACCCGGAAACUGCAUAGAAUACUGUUCUGCUAGAGGUUUGGAGGGGGGACUGGAAUUCUCGGUGUAGCAGUGAAAUGCGUAGAUAUCGAGAGGAACACCAGUGGCGAAGGCGAGUCCCUGGACAAAACCUGACGCUGAGGCACGAAAGCUAGGGGAGCAAACAGGAUUAGAUACCCCGGUAGUCC
rnacentral:rRNA from 1 species